CAGUAGCCACGGUAAUACGUAGGUGGCAGGCGUUGUCCGGAAUUAUUGGGCGUAAAGCGCGCGCAGGCGGUUUCUUAAGUCUGAUGUGAAAGCCCCCGGCUUAACCGGGGAGGGUCAUUGGAAACUGGGAGACUUAGAGUGCAGAAGAGGAGAGUGGAAUUCCAUGUGUAGCGGUGAAAUGCGUAGAUAUAUGGAGGAACACAGUGGCGAAGGCGACUCUCUGGUCUGUAACUGACGCUGAGGCGCGAAAGCGUGGGGAGCAAACAGGAUUAGAUACCCCCGUAGUCCCUGUCUCUUAUAC
rnacentral:rRNA from 1 species